GUGGCUGAGAGGAGAGGCGGGUGUUUUGUUCUUAUAAGGAGGAAAAGUUUCUGUGACAUCCAGGAAAUGAGUAACUGCGAAGCCCUUUAGAGCGCGGCUGAUGGAGGCCAGAAGGCGGGAGCAGGCCGGGGUGUCUCCGCCCCCGAUCGUCUAGUCGCCCACCCGGACCUCCGCUGCAAACGCAGCAAACAGCGGCGCCCAGGCCCUGGGGACCCCGAGUGCAGCCGGGCCGCGCGGUCCUCCCGCGACGGCGAGCUGGACGGAGGCUAAAGUUUUUUUCAGGGCCUGUAUAACAGUCUGCAUUGUAAACUGAUUGUUUAAAUCUACCUGAAGCAUUUGGAAUGUCUGAAGGCCAAGAGGAAGACUCAAUCUAAAGGCCCAAAAUGGCAACUCUCCCCCAAAGGAGGGACUGGAAGCAGCAUGGGAAAAAAAGAAAACAGGUCAAACACCAAAUGUGCAGAGAGCCCUCCCUGACCACCCAUUCUGAAGCUGCUGAGAAACUCCAUUC